UACAGAGGGGGGCAAGCGUUGUUCGGAAUUACUGGGCGUAAAGGGCGCGUAGGCGGCCAACUAAGUCGGACGUGAAAUCCCCAGGCUCAACCUGGGAACUGCGUCCGAUACUGGAUGGCUCGAAUCCGGGAGAGGGAUGUGGAAUUCCAGGUGUAGCGGUGAAAGUGACGUAGAUAUCUGGAGGAACACCGGUGGCGAAGGCGGCAUCCUGGACCGGUAUUGACGCUGAGGCGCGAAAGCCAGGGGAGCAAAGCGGG
rnacentral:rRNA from 1 species